rnacentral:rRNA from 1 species
UACAGAGACUGCAAGCGUUAUUCGGAUUCACUGGGCGUAAAGGGUGCGCAGGCGGCCAUGUGUGUGAGGCGUGAAAGCCCGGAGCUCAACUCCGGAAUUGCACCUCAAACUACAUGGCUAGAGCAUUGGAGAGGGAAGCGGAAUUCACGGUGUAGCAGUGAAAUGCGCAGAUAUCAGGAGGAACACCGGUGGCGAAGGCGGGUCUCUGGGCCGAAAUUGACGCUGAGGAGCGAAAGCGUGGGGAGCGAACAGG